rnacentral:lncRNA from 1 species
CGGAUCGUCGGAUGAAUCUUGAGAGGCGGGGGGAGCAAGAGAAAUGCUCAGUGUGACCAUGGAUCGUGAAAGAGGGCAAAAGAGAAAUGCUCCGUGUUGACCAUGGUGUACUCGGGAUGACAAGACCAUAAGACUUCCGCAGCGAGGGAGGAAGGAGACCAUAGUCCUUUGAUUGAGAGAGGAUGUUGGAGUGCAAAUAAAGUCCCACAUUGAGUAGAAGAAGGGCUGGUCAUGGGUUUAUAUACACAUAGAUACCUCUAAUGGUAAGAGGCCUUUUGGAGUGGUACCAAAAGCAAACCCGUGAGGGCUUGGCCCAAAGCGGACAAUGUCUUACCAUGUGUGGAGAUCUAUGUGUGUGUCGAACCUCCCCCCAACAGGCCAUACCAUCUAGACCAGU